AGCGGAGUAGAGAAGAGGUCAUCUCGCUGUCCUCAUAAGUCAGAGAUCGCAGGUUCGAGUCCUGCCUCCGCUACCA
rnacentral:tRNA from 1 species